GACGAACGCUGGCGGCGUGCUUAACACAUGCAAGUCGAACGGAAAGGCCCUUCGGGGUACUCGAGUGGCGAACGGGUGAGUAACACGUGGGUGAUCUGCCCUGCACUUUGGGAUAAGCCUGGGAAACUGGGUCUAAUACCGAAUAUGAUCAUCGGCUUCAUGGUCGGUGGUGGAAAGCUUUUGCGGUGUGGGAUGGGCCCGCGGCCUAUCAGCUUGUUGGUGGGGUAAUGGCCUACCAAGGCGACGACGGGUAGCCGGCCUGAGAGGGUGACCGGCCACACUGGGACUGAGAUACGGCCCAGACUCCUACGGGAGGCAGCAGUGGGGAAUAUUGCACAAUGGGCGCAAGCCUGAUGCAGCGACGCCGCGUGAGGGAUGACGGCCUUCGGGUUGUAAACCUCUUUCAGCACAGACGAAGCGCAAGUGACGGUAUGUGCAGAAGAAGGACCGGCCAACUACGU
rnacentral:rRNA from 1 species